AAAGAAGCGGCGUGAGAGCAACUUGGGAAAAAAAAGUGUCUGGUCGAGGGCAGCAGGAAGUUUUCUGCAGGUUCCUUCCUGAGGAAGGAGGGACCUGUUCGCAGUCAACAACGACAGCAGCGACAACGCCGACACCGAGCCGGUCCAGAUGCACGGGUCACUGACUGGUCUUGAUCCAAAUACAUUAGAAUGAUGGAGCCAGACUCGAGACCCGAAGGACGCAGACUGAUUGGACGAGAAGAAGAGAGGGGGAGAGUUACAGAUCAGUCAGCUACCGUGGUGAAGCUGUAGUUUGCAGAGAGGUUGUGAAGAAUCAAGGACUGCAAAAAGCUAUCAGAAGUAAGAUGCAACAAAAAUGUGACAGAGGAAAAAAAAAAGAAAAGUUAACUCCAGUGAGACAUUGUCAUCUGACGUCGGUCUGACAAAGAUCGUCUCAGCUUCCUGCGACAGACUGUCCAAGAUGAAUCCCGCCUCUCGCCCGGAACGUAGCUGGAGAUAGACACCAGCAACCCUCCCGACCCCAUUAGGGACAAGAGUGAACAGAAAAUGGAUGGAUGGAUGGAUCUCAGCUUCUAGGACUCUCCGAUUAGUGGUACAAUUCACGGGGAACCCUGCGAUGGUAAAUCAUUGACACCUCCAGUUCCAUAAUUCACAGCCGGUACGAGGUUCUGUCGGUGAAAAUGUUGGUUUAUACCCAACAUACCAUCUAUUCUGGCGUUGACAUAAUUCACCUUUAGAUUCAUCCAUCAGGACUUCUGGAAACAGUUCUCUCAAGUUUACCUGUUCAUGCUCUCACCUGCUUGUUCACCCUCCAAUGGAUCAUCAAUCAUCGAUCACAGAGCAGCCGCCAGCCUCGGUGAUCCCUGCAUCGGUAAGAUCCGCCCUCCAGGAACCUUCAGACUUCAUCUUUAUCACUUUUUGUAAUUAAAACUAGUUUUGCAUUAGUUCUCCUGAUGCAUUGAGUCUGGACUGAACCAUGGCAAGCCAAGUAAAGGAUAUUAAUCAUCAAACUGGAGUCUGAUAACUUCAUCCUGGGUCACUUCUUAAAAUUUAAAGCUGCAAAAUAUUUCACUCUCUCUACAUUGAUAUGGGAUGAUAUAACAUUCCAGUUUCACAUCACUGUGUUUUAACAAAAAAUCUAAAGCUAAAUUGGUAACAUAUUGCUUUAUUGUGAAAUGGAAAGGCAUCUAUUGAUUUCUUCUACUGCUAAAAUCAAAUAGCAUAUUAAAUGCUGAAACUAUAAUAAUGUUACCAAACAUUUGUUUUCUAGAUUUUGAAACACAAAAACAGAGAAUAAACAGCUGACAAAUUACACAUAUGUUUAUGAAUAUCAACUUUUUGUGCGAUUACAUUUUUAUUGCUACGGAUGUUAAAUUUGUUAUAUGAAUUAUUUCAUAUUCAUUCAGCAUCGGGUGAUCUAGAUGCAGCGCUA